rnacentral:rRNA from 1 species
GUGGGGAAUAUUGGACAAUGGGGGGAACCCUGAUCCAGCCAUGCCGCGUGUGUGAAGAAGGCCUUUUGGUUGUAAAGCACUUUAAGCGAGGAGGAGGCUACCGAGAUUAAUACUCUUGGAUAGUGGACGUUACUCGCAGAAUAAGCACCGGCUAACUCUGUGCCAGCAGCCGCGGUAAUACAGAGGGUGCAAGCGUUAAUCGGAUUUACUGGGCGUAAAGCGCGCGUAGGUGGCCAAUUAAGUCAAAUGUGAAAUCCCCGGGCUUAACUUGGGGAUUGCAUUCGAUACUGGUUGGCUAGAGUAUGGGAGAGGAUGGUAGAAUUCCAGGUGUAGCGGUGAAAUGAGUAGAGAUCUGGAGGAAUACCGAUGGCGAAGGCAGCCAUCUGGCCUAAUACUGACACUGAGGUGCGAAAGCAUGGGGAGCAAACAGGAUUAGAUACCCUUGUAGUCC